AGCGAACGCUGGCGGCAGGCCUAACACAUGCAAGUCGAACGAACCUUUCGGGGUUAGUGGCGGACGGGUGAGUAACACGUGGGAACGUGCCUUUAGGUUCGGAAUAACUCAGGGAAACUUGUGCUAAUACCGAAUGUGCCCUUCGGGGGAAAGAUUAAUCGCCUUUAGAGCGGCCCGCGUCUGAUUAGCUAGUUGGUUGAGGUAAUGGCUCACCAAGGCGACGAUCAGUAGCUGGUCUGAGAGGAUGAUCGGCCACACUGGGACUGAGACACGGCCCAGACUACUACGGGAGGAAGCAGUAGGGAAUGGUGCGCAAUGGGGGAAAGCCGGACGGAGAAAAGCGGCGUGAGUGAUGAAGGGUUUCGGAUCGUAAAACUCUGUUAUUAGGGAAGAAGAGAGGUGUAAGGAACUGUGCACAUCGUGACGGGACCGAAUCAGAAAGCCACGGCUAACUACGUG
rnacentral:rRNA from 1 species